AGUCGAACGUGAAAGCACUUCGGUGUGAGUAGAGUGGCGGACGGGUGAGUAACGCGUGGGAAUCUACCCAGUAGUGGGGGACAACUACCGGAAACGGUAGCUAAUACCGCAUACGCCCUAUGGGGGAAAGGCUUCGGCCGCUAUUGGAUGAGCCCGCGUCAGAUUAGCUAGUUGGUAGGGUAAAGGCCUACCAAGGCAACGAUCUGUAGCUGGUCUGAGAGGACGAACAGCCACACUGGGACUGAGACACGGCCCAGACUCCUACGGGAGGCAGCAGUGGGGAAUAUUGGACAAUGGGCGAAAGCCUGAUCCAGCAAUGCCGCGUGUGUGAAGAAGGCCUGCGGGUUGUAAAGCACUUUCAGUUGGGAAGAUGAUGACGUUACCAACAGAAGAAGCACCGGCUAAAUCCGUGCCAGCAGCCGCGGUAAUACGGAUGGUGCGAGCGUUAAUCGGAAUUACUGGGCGUAAAGCGCGCGUAGGCGGCUAAGUCAGUCAGAAGUGAAAGCCCCGGGCUCAACCUGGGAAUUGCUUUUGAUACUGCUUAGCUAGAGUUUGGUAGAGGAUAGUGGAAUUCCAGGUGUAGCGGUGAAAUGCGUAGAUAUCUGGAGGAACAUCAGUGGCGAAGGCGACUGUCUGGACCAAAACUGACGCUGAGGUGCGAAAGCGUGGGUAGCAAACAGGAUUAGAUACCCUGGUAGUCCACGCCGUAAACGAUGUCAACUAGCCGUCGGGUCUAUUUACAGACUUGGUGGCGCAGCUAACGCGAUAAGUUGACCGCCUGGGGAGUACGGCCGCAAGGUUAAAACUCAAAGGAAUUGACGGGGGCCCGCACAAGCGGUGGAGCAUGUGGUUUAAUUCGAUGCAACGCGAA
rnacentral:rRNA from 1 species